rnacentral:misc_RNA from 1 species
AGCAGCCGCGGUAAUUCCAGCUCCAAUAGCGUAUAUUAAAGUUGCUGCAGUUAAAAGCUCGUAGUUGAAUUUCGGGACUAAUAUGUCGGUCGUGCCUCGGUACGUACUGGUUUAUUGGUUUCUCCUUUCUGAAGAACCAUGAUGUCAUUUAUUUGGUGUCGUGGGGAACCAGGACUGUUACUUUGAGAAAAAUUAGAGUGUUUAAAAGCAGGCUCACGCUUGAAUACAUUAGCAUGGAAUAAUGAAAUAGGACGUUUGAUUCUAUUUUGUUGGUUUCUAGGAUCGACGUAAUGAUUAAUAGGGAUAGUUGGGGGCAUUAGUAUUCAAUUGUCAGAGGUGAAAUUCUUGGAUUUAUUGAAGACUAACUACUGCGAAAGCAUUUGCCAAGGAUGUUUUCAUUAAUCAAGAACGAAAGUUAGGGAUCGAAGACGAUCAGAUACCGUCGUAGUCUUAACCAUAAACUAUGCCGACUAGGGAUCGGAUGAUGUUAAUUUUUUAAUGACUCAUUCGGCGCCUUACG